rnacentral:rRNA from 1 species
GACGAACGCUGGCGGCGUGCCUAAUACAUGCAAGUUGAGCGAUGACGAUUGGUGCUUGCACCAAUUUGAAGAGCAGCGAACGGGUGAGUAACGCGUGGGGAAUCUGCCUUUGAGCGGGGGACAACAUUUGGAAACGAAUGCUAAUACUGCAUAACAACUUUAAACAUAAGUUUCAAGUUUGAAAGAUGCAAUUGCAUCACUCAAAGAUGAUCCGGCGUUGUAUUAGCUAGUUGGUGAGGUAAGGGCUCACCAAGGCGAGGAUACGUAGCCAACCUGAGAGGAUGAUGGCCAACAUUGGAACGGGACAACGCCCAAGACUCCUCGGGAGGGAGCAGGAGGGGAACAUCGGCAAAUGAGGAAAGGCUUACCGAGCAACGCCGCGGGGGGGAAGGAGGGUGUCGGAGCGUAAAACUCCGUUGGUAGGGAAGAACGUGGGUGAGAGUAGAAAGCUCAUCAAGUGACGGUAACUACACAGAAAGCGACGGCUAACUACGUG